rnacentral:rRNA from 1 species
UACAGAGGGUGCAAGCGUUGCUCGGAAUCAUUGGGCGUAAAGGGCAAGUAGGUGGUCUCAUUUGUCUAGGGUGAAAUCCUUGAGCUUAACUCAAGAAGUGCCCCUAGAAACGGUGAGACUCGAGUACUGGAGAGGGUCGUGGAAUUCCCGGUGUAGCGUGAAAUGCGUAGAGAUCCGGAGAACACCGGUGGCGAAGGCGGCCUGCUGGCAGUGGCUGACACUGAGGCGCGACAGCGUGGGGAGCAAACAGG